UAACCUGCUAAUCAUGCGUUAAAGGAAAUAAAAAUCAAAUUGUAUUUCGUCUAUUUUGAACUCUGGAGUUGAAAUUUGGCUGCUGCCAAACAUCAAAGUGGAAUAUGAUAUUCCAGACUGAUAUUUAAUCUCAAUAUCUGGGAUUGAAUACGGAUUUUAAGUUUCCAAGCACAUCUUGAUGGGUCAUUGUAAAUUCUUCAUUUUAUUUUCUGAAAUUGACUACUCCAUGAAUUACUCUGUUUUAUUUAUUCCACUUUCCAAAAUUAUUUUCAGAGUCACACAUGCUUGGUUAUGUGUUUGUUUUUGAUGCAAGUCUUGAAGUAGGCUGCAACUGGUGAGGAAAUUUCUGCUGAGGAUUUGGGAGGUGCCAGUGUGCACUGUAAGAUAUCGGAGUUUCUGAUUAUUUUGCUGAAGUUGACCUGGAAUCGCUGCCGCACAGACCCUUCAUGUAGCUUUCAUGCUGCCUUGGUAGCAACUUCAUUUUAUGAGAUCUAAACCUUAUGAGUUUCGAUUUGGGCACUUCUCCCAGAGUACCUCUAGGUUUGACACAUCCAUGACUGCAAAUGAGGUCGGCGAUCUGCCUUGUUGAUAUCAUUACUGAUAAGGUAUUGCAGGUUUUUUUAGCUUGACGAUGUCAAUGACUAAGUUGCAUAUUUUGAUAGUUUCUACAGUAGUGCAUGGAUUCUGAUGUCAUGCUGCUAGGUCAGCUCUCUGUGUCUACUCAAUAGCCGCUUUAAUGUGAAUAUGGAGAACUGAAAUUUAGGCAACUAUAAUCAGAAAAGUGAACUACGCUCUUGGAUGCUUUUCCUUACUAUUUCCUCCUGAAAUUAGACAAGAUGCACCGAAAAUUGGGAGCUUAUGAGCUUUCAGGCUCAAAGGAGGGGGAAGUGAGGUAUAUAGUUCGUUAUACUCUUGAAUGCUUUUUUUUACCAUCUCAGUUGUUUUUUCUUUUUUUUUGUGUUUGUUUUCAGGAGAUUGUCUUGUGUUAUCUUUGGGAUUUCUUUGACUGUCACUUUUGCACUUUAUGAUGAUUUUAAGAGUUCUCACUUCAUAUUAGUCUUAUAUUAACACUCAUUUGAAGAGCAGUCGUAGAUGCAUUUUAACAACAAUCGCGAAUCUGAAAUAUGACAAACUGCAAAAUUGAAAAUUAGGCAAUUAUAAUGUUAUUGAUAUGAUUAAAGUAAGGACAAAGAGAAAGAUAGAACUAGAAGGGGGGGGGGGAGAAAGGACAAGAUGGAGGGAUAAGCAGAAGGGGAUUUUCUAAUGUGACAAGGGUAUACAUGAUAUAGGAGGAAAAUUAGCCUUACUAAAUACUUGCUCUUUCAUCUUAGUCUAAUUAUAUGAGCUCACUAAAAUCUUACUAUUUACUUAUCAUUAAAAAAAAAAAAGGACAAAGCCGAGGAGAGAACUAGAAGGGGAAGGAGGAGAGAGUGAGAGGAUGGACGAAAGAAGUUGGAGGGGACUUUCUAAUGUGACAAGGGUGUAUAGGAGGGGAAUCAGCCUUAAGAAUACUUUCUAAAUCAUCUUAGUCUAAUGAUAUAUGCUCGCUGAAAUCUUACUAUUUACUUAGCAUAUGAGUGAAAAAAGGACAAAGGGGAGGAGGGAUUUAGAUGGGAAAGGGAGGAGAGAGCGAGAUGAUGGAGUGACCCAGUAGGAGGAGACUUUCUAAUGUGAAGAGGGUAUGUCGGAGGGGAAUUAGCCUUACUACAUACUUUCUUUUUCAUAUUAGUCUAAUUAUAUGAGCUUGUUGGAAUCUUAUUAUGAGUGAAAAAGAACAAAGGGGAGGAGAGAGGGAUAUGGAGGGAAGAGGAGUCUUUUAGAGUGAUGGAGAAGAGAAAAGGUGUAAGAGGUUGAAGAAGGGAGGGGGAAAAAAAGAACGGCAAGAGAGAAAUAAAGAGUUAAGUUACUACAUUAUAAGGCUGCCUUGAAUCAUACUUCUGUGAGGAGCCAGAUCCAGAGUGAAGUAGUACAAGUAGGGCUUGCAAUGCAACAUUUAGGUGCUCUUUUGCUAAAGCUUGGUCGCACCAUAUUGAUGCUACGUAUGGGAAAGUCUCUUGCAGAGGCUAUGGUUAAUGCUGGGUCAUUCUGUCUAUAUAUCAGUAUCGGGGACUAAUCCUAUAAUGAUCCAGCCUUUCCCCUAUCAAACCAGCCCUUUCUUUAACACUCCUGCAGUUUUUGCACCAAAUACGGGGAGUUCAGUUCCUGUUGGGAUAAUUGGAAGUGUUCCCAGGAAUAUAAACAUUCACAUACAUGCUGGUAGCACAAGAGAUUCACUCAGAGUCGAAGUUUCAGAGUGACUUUGUGGAUCAGCUGAAGAAGAUGAGGUUAAAGAGGAUGAAUAUGAAAAAGAUGAACAGUUGGACCUUGAGGAUAAUGAACCUGAAUAUGAACCAGAAGAAUAUGGUGGGAAGUAUGAUGAGAAGGAAGUUGAUCAAGACGAUUUAUUGCAGGAGGAAGGGGAUGAAGGUGUAGAGGAAGGUGAGGAAGGUGAUCUAGCUGAAGAGGAGGGUGACAUGGCUUAGGAGGAUAUGGAAGAAGUUCCUGAGGAACUUGAAGGUGAAGAAGAUGAUGAGGAUGCUGAUGCUGGUGAGGGCCAUGAGCAUGACAAUCAUCACAAGAAUGCUGAAUAUACUUUUAGCUUGUUGAUUUUAGUUGAUUGAUUAUUUCAAUUCAAAUGAAAUAGAGAUUAAAUUGGAUUUGCAAAAGCGCAAAUUACUAUAUCAAAAUCAAGCCAAAUACCCUUUUGCUUAUUUUUUUGUUGUAAAGUCUAAUGGUACAUGUUAACAGUAUGACCUUUAUAGUUAUUCAUCGUCUAAUAUGAACUAAUCUCUUUUGCUAAUAGA